UUUAUUCCUCCUCUUUCGAUCUCUCCAAGGCCAAACCCUACAAAUCCUCGUUCUCCGCUCGAACGCUCUCACAGUCGAGAUCCGUGCCGAUUUCUUAAACAUCACCUUCCUCUGCAACCUCUACCUACUGAAGAACCAAUUUUCCGAUGAGUUCCCUCCGAGUCUCACUCUACUCACCCGAUUCAUUUGCUUGGAUCUCUCCUCCAACUUCACCUAUCAAAUCCCUUUCAUCCUGGCUCCGGCUCCGUCUCCCUCCUCCAAUUCAACCUCCGUCACGACGCAUAAGAAGUCCAAGAAGCUCUUCACGGGCGCCAUUGUCGCAAUCGUUGUCGGAUCAGGUCUCAUCGUGGCCUUGCUGCUAUGUCGUCAGCAAAACCGCCAAAGCUUGUUGCGGAGGCACGUGCAUUGAUGGUGGAGGCGGGGACGUCGUCGUCGAAGAAGGACAUCACCGGGGUUUCAACGGAGGCGGAAAGAAACAAACUUGUGUUCUUUGAAGGGGGAUAUAAGUUUCGAUUUGGAGGAUUGGUUGAGGGCUUCGACCAAGAUGUUGGGGGAAGGGACUUUGUACAAGGUGGUGCUGGAGGAAGGGACAAUGGUGGUGGUGAAGACUAAGCACGAUAGUGUGGUGCCUCACAGCUUGUUUUCUCUCUUUCACGGAGAAAAUCAAUAUAGAAGCCAGUUUUGUGAUGAAGCUGCAAUAUUAUCUAUUGCCGCACUCACAGGUCGUGGUGCUCUCAUUCAAAUUGUAGAAGUCAUGCUUGAUGGGACUGCACAAUUUGUUUCAAAAUGUUAAGGUUUCAAAGGCAGGGAUUUUCCCAGUUGAGAACUCUAGAAAAGAACACGGUCCAUGUGGGGACACACACACCCGUCCACUGAGUGGUUCUUUGGGAAUUCUUAUGCCUCGGUGACUCCUCUUACAGCUACUACUACCAAUAGUGGUGGCCUAGGGAAUGAUAAUGCAAGCAAUUGGAGUAGCGAUGUGAAUGCUUGGGCUGAUGUGCCGCAGCAAUAUACUGCUUUGCCCUAGCUGGCAAGAUGUGAAAGCACGAGGGAGGAUAAAGAGGAGUAAGAGAGUUGUUGAACAUGCUUCGAGAAGAGGAAAAGUUGGUGUGUGACGAAGGCCACACAAUGGUUUGCAAGAAGAGGGCAAGCUACGUGUGAUGGAGGCACGAGGUUGCGAGACCAUAAAGAGGAGAGUGAAGAUUGACUUGAUGGUGCACAUGCAGGAAGGAUCCAGCCUAGGUCAAAGCAGUGUUAUUAAAUUUCGGCCAUGGCGACACCAUGGCGAAAAUCGGUAUCGGUUUCCCAGCCUACCGCCAUAACAAGGCGGCGACGAAUCAGGUUUUCCAUGGCAGCCGCUUUUGGCAUAACGGAUGACGGUGGCAUAGCGGUUGUGACGAAAAAAUCAAAUGGAAAAACAAAAAUCAAGAUCUUGAACAGAAGAGAAGAGAAGAAAUGUGCAAAAUGAUAGUGGUCUGCAACGGCGACGGGUAUUACUACUACUCUCUACUGCCGUCAGCUACUGUCGCUGCCAGUCCUCACCGCUGGUUGCCACCUCCGGCCUUCACCGCCGCCGUCAGCCACCAUUUGCCGUCGCCAAGUCUUUUUUUUAUUAUCUUUUUUUCUAUUUCUCUACUUUGACUAUAAUUAUUUUGAAGAAAAUAUACCUAUUUUCAACAAUAAUAAUAGCCAAUGAUCAUGAUACUUCCAGAAUAUCUCAUAGAAGUGAUCAGUGUUGGAAACAUUGUCAUCCAAUUUGACAAAUCUAUCAGUGAUAUAUCUAGAUUCCAGUUUUGCUAUGAAAUUACAAGUGACCAAUGCCAUUCAAAAGAUUUUAGGAUCAACUAAAGAUUCUAAAAAUUGAAAAGAGACAUCAUAUCAUUACUUUUCAUUAAAAUUAUAUGUGGUGGUAUUACAUUUUGUGUACCGCAAUAUUUCUGUCAUAACCUGUUAUGGUUUUUUUAUAACUUUAUAAAGGUUUUUGGAGGCCACCGCUAUUUUCCGUUCUCUGAUAUUAAUAACACUGGGUCAAAGGCGCGUUGUGUGGCCUUCGGGUUCGAUUUGUUUGUGAGGAAAAAGGAGAGAGUUGGGUCAGGUUUUGCUUUGGGGAUUUUUCUUUGGUAUAAAAUGGAAAGAACGAGGGUUUUGUACGAGGAUUCACAAUGUUUUUGAGAGAACUAGGUUUUGCAUUUUCUGGUGCGCGAGAGAGUCACUGUAUAGGAGGUUUCUCAUAUACAGGAGGUUUCUCAUAUUCUGACAGCACAAAGUGGCCAGCGGGAGUAGGUCUCCUCCAAUGUGCAAGAUUCAAGACGAUAUGAGUGAUUCACUCGGCUAGAUCUUUCCAACCAACUGAUUUGUUCUUCCGUUUGAAGGAAGAAAUUGGAGACCUAACAUGUAACAAUGAGAUUGUUUAGCCUAACUUUUCUUGUAACCUUGGAUUAUGUUAAAGCUACAACUGAUAUGGUGUAACUUGUUUGUGAUGUAUUUCAAACUAAAAGUACCUUUAGUUGGUUGUAAAAAUAUAAACAAACAUCUGUUACAAACACUUAUAUGUAUGUUAACAUUUUAUUCGCAUAAAUAUCAUGUAUGUCUAACAGAUGAUACAUUCGAGUGAUGUAUUAUUAUUAUUUUUUUGUUUGGUAUUUAUUAAUUGAAUACAAAUAAAUUUUUCCUUAAGUAAAUGAUACAUUAGACAAGUAAAGAACAUCUAGUAGCACCGAAUUCUAGUU